rnacentral:rRNA from 1 species
GAUGAACGCUGGCGGCGUGCCUAAUACAUGCAAGUCGAACGAGGUGCUUGAGUAGCAAUACAAGAGUAUCCUAGUGGCGAACGGGUGAGUAACGCGUGGAUGACCUGCCCCAAAGUGUGGGAUAACAGUCCGAAAGGAUUGCUAAUACCUCAUGUGGUUAUCGGUUUUAGAAAGCGAUAACUAAAGCAGUAAUGCGCUUUGGGAGGGAUCUGCGUCCCAUCAGCUAGUUGGUGAGGUAACGGCUCACCAAGGCGACGACGGGUAGGGGACCUGAGAGGGUGGCCCCCACAAUGGAACUGAAACACGGUCCAUACACCUACGGGUGGCAGCAGUAGGGAAUAUUGCUCAAUGGGCGAAAGCCUGAAGCAGCAACGCCGCGUGUGCGAUGAAGG